AGCCGUUAUCACACAUAUAUAAAACGAAAAAAUGCAAUCCCUAACUGAAACACUGUGCAUAUACACACGAUGGCUCGCUCAAUCUCCCUUCUAUCUCUCCCUCGUCCUCCUGCUCAAUCCAUCGGUAUCGCCACUUUCACCCUCCACCAUUACUUCUUCUUCAACAGAAUCGAAGAUUCCAAGCCACACACACCUUGUUUUCCCAUUGUGCGACGAUUGCGAAUUUUCUUUCAGAUCUCAGAUCUUCUCCGGUGACAUCUCCUUCGGCGACAUCUCUUCUCAUGGUAAUCUUCUCCGGUGUUGUCACCUCCAGCUUCCUCUCCUUUCCUUCCUAGCUCUGCACCUUCUCUGCCAAAAUCCUCAGCGUCUUCUCCGAUGACAUCUCUCUAUUGAAGAUUUCUAAAUCCAAGCCAUCACAAACAGAACAAGCACAACUCUCCCCUACUUCCUCUGUUCUUCUUGUAAAAGCAAAGGCAUUAAGGUGGCUGUUGCAUCUAGUGCUAAUUGCAUAAAGGUUGAUGCUAAUCUAGCUGCUGCUGGUUUGCCAUUGUCAAUAUCCUCUUGCAAAUGGAUGCGAAAACUCUUGGAAGUGAAGACUACUCACAUCAAAAAGAAGAAAAGCACGCGGAUUUAAUUAAAAGUUUGAAAUCUAGCAUGGACAACUUGAAUAAGGAGUUGGAAAAGAUGAAAAAAGAGAAUUCAACUCCUUCAGAAGAUGGUUAUAGCAUUGAACUUACUUUUCCCAAUCUGCAAAGAGAAUUGGCUAAUCAAGAAUGGGAAAAUAUAUUCCCUGUGUUCAAGGAAAUAUCUGUCAUUGGCAAUGCAUUAGAAAGGGUUCUUGCUUUGGAGAUUGAGCUUGCUGAAGCAUUGCAGGCCAAGAAAAAAUCAAGCAUGCAAUUUCAGAGGAUUGUUGUUAUUUUGAAGCUCAUCCAACAGAGUCAACGUCUGGUGCCUGAUUAAAUUCAGCUGAGCCAAGGAACAGCAUCGGUGGUCCUCGCCGGACUUAUUGCGGCCCUGAAAUUGGUUGGAGGAAACUUAGCUAAUCACAGUUUCUUUUUUGGCUUUUUUGAAUCUAUCCGGAGAAUCUAAAGGCCUGAGCAGAAUAUUAUGAAUUUUUACAGCAACAGGAUAGCUUAUCUUUUGGAGAAGGAUUGGGGGCAACCUGGCUUUGAAUUGCAUUUGUAAUCUAGCUUUUAUCUUUUAUCUUUUAUUUGACUAGUUAUAUAUUGUUUCUAAUGACAUCUUUUCAUUGUUAUAAUUUCAAUUUAUAAUAGAAGGCUUGAUAGAAAUUCCUUGAUAGGAGAGGUUCCUACAAAUCUUUAUAAAAGAUGAGUUUGGAUAAUGAAGUUGGAGUGUUGGAGCAAGAAACAAAGAUGUUGGAGCAAGUUCUCGGGAUGAAACUCACACAAGAGACCAAGAAACUAAUGCAGGCUUGUUUUAAAGUUAAUUACAAAAGGAGAAACCUUUUGGCUUCCAAAUCUUAUUCAUGAUCACUUAGUUAAGCUACUUGUCUUGUAUAUUCAUAUUCUAAGUAGUAAAACAACACUUAUUUCAUGGUUUAAAUACAUUAUUAGAUAUUAACAUAGUUUAGGGAACUGUAUGGUAGAUUUGACUGAUUAGUGUUUAUUGCAAUGCUUGUAUUUUGGUAAGUUUAGUAAGA